GGCUUUGUGGUCUAGUGGUAUGAUUCUCGCUUAGGGACCACCCUAUGAAUAAUAUGCGAGAGGCCCCGUGUUCGAUCCACGGCAAAGCCC